CAUUUUGCAUCCAUCACCAGUUAAUAAACAUUUGUUUUUCAGCACAUACAUAUACCGCUUUUCACCGCUCAGUAAUAACAUCUGUUUAAUUACGUCCAACAUUGCAUUGAUGUCAUUUCUGCCACCACCACUGGAACUAAGCUGGAAAGGCGUCUGGGGAAAUGAAAAUGGGAAAGUGAGGGCGCCGAGCAUCGACAAUGCAGGUUCACAAGCUAGCAAGUGAAUUAGUAAAGCGCUGUGCUGGGAAACUCCUGCCAUUUUCCACCCACUUUACCGCCACCUCCCAUGUGUGCAAAGAACAUUCAUAUUUAAACGCAGGCGAAAAUGAUUUGAAUGAUGCUCAGGAGAGUGACGAAGGGUGUAAAAUUUGAACAAAUAAAUCUGGGAACCAAACCGGUUUCGUCACCAUGAGGCAUCCUUUGAAAACAAUUGAGCAGUUUUGAGGAGAGCAGGUAACCGCUUCAAACAACCCAUACAAAUUAUGAGAUACAUUUCGGGUGACUACGUAUCCAUUGGAUACAAGACAAUAGCCGAGCAACAGCUGUUGUUCCGGAUCUUCGCUAUUCUAUGCUAUAUAUUUCCAUGCUUUUGUUACUGAAAAUUGAUUAGAUUCUUCCCGCGCAGCUGCUGCUUCUACGGUUUUUGCUCGCUCUAUAUUAUUUGAUGUUUUUCUUUCCGUUUGAUUUUCAUAGCGUGAGAAGCGAUUCCGUAUUUGUUCAGGUUUUUAAUAUUUUUUUUUCGCAGGUGUAUUGCAACAAUUAAAUGUCAGUGCAGCAAAAGUACAAGUAUCUUACAGAUACGACACAGCUUCUUAGCUGCGUAAACUCCGAAUAUAAACAACAACAAAAAAAGAAGUAGAGAAGAAAAGCAAAAGGGGUGUAUAAAAAAAAAUAUUAUCGCAUCACGCGCAUCUACAAAAUGAUUUCACACAGCAACAGCAACAUUAACUUGCUCUUUCAUUAUCGACACAUCGUUAUAGGCAAUAGUUUCUUCUUCGCCGGCGUUGUCGUCACAUUUGUCGACCGACGACGCCGUUUAUUUAUUUUGCCCUUUAACUAUUUGGGCAGACACAUCCACAACAACAACAAAAGCAACAACAACAACAACAAGCUGAACAAGAACAAAAACAACAACGACCACCGCCAGCGGUCUUCUCUUUUUUUCCUCGACUUUUUGUGCCCGUCUUGCAGAUGCACCUUGAUUAAAUUCCAGGAAUUGAAAAAAUCUUUUAGUCGCAGACAUGGACGGACCGCUUGUUGAUAUUUACCCAAUGAUCAAAAGGGGGUAAAAGAGGGGUGCACUGAAUAUCCCCGCCCCCCUCUGCCAACCCCCUGCAGACUGGCUCCAUUAAUGAUGCAGCAAAUGGUCUUCUUUCUGCCUGCCUUCUUCUCUAUCUCGUUUCUCGAGCCUAACCAGCUACUUCAAUUCUCAAAAUGUUGCACAGCGUACAGGGAGUUUUCCUUUAUUGUUUUGUCAAAAAAAAAAAAAUAAUGUAAAAAAAAUAAUAUAAAAAAAAUAAAUAAGCCUAAAAAGCAGCUACUACGAAGUAAUAACCUAUGCAGGCUUAUUAUACUAUUCGUAAAGCAUGGAAUGCAAAAUACCCUAUACAAAAAUAAAAGAUAACUUGCUUAACUACAAAUAUUUAAAAGUUUGCUUUAAACUCCGGAAGUUAUAAUCGCUGUUUGAUUAGUUAUCAGUAUCAUUGCCUUGAGUAAUUUUUAUAUCACACAAAAUACAUUACAAUCUACAUAUAACCUACAUAUAAUAUAAUCUACAUAUAAUAUAACACAUCAUUUUUAUAAAAUGUAAGCUGCAGAUAAAGCGUGAAUAGAUUUAUGUAACACAAUGCUCACGUUUUCUUUAAAGAUUCAAACAGAACCACUUCAUAGACCAACAGUUUCGACCUUUUCAUCGUACCCCAGAAAUAGCUUUACCUACAAAGCGAAGACUUGACUUGGCUUCUUCGCUCGUUUCUGCUCAGUCUUCCACUUUGCGUUUGGAUUUUCGAUUUUCUAGCUGGCAUUUCUACACAAUCGAGGGGGAGGAAACCCAAAGAAGAGGAGCAGCUGGAGGAGUUGUUGCCCCGGCUCAAGUGUUUCCAUCUCGAGAGUGGCUGUGGCGAGCUUUAAAGAUUCCCUUUGUUGUUUGGCAUUUAACUGCAGUGCUUGUCAAACUGUGCGCCCGUAGACAAUGUCCAAAGAGGCAAAGUACCAAAGAACCCAAGCCGAAGACGAUGCCAGAAGUUGCUGCUGCUGCUGCUGUUGCUGUGCUUGCCUUAAUGAUUUUACAUUUUUUACAUAAACAAGCCGGUCCCCAACCAGCACCAGCUGUCUUUUUCCUGUAUUUUUUCUUUCAGUUUUGCUGGCUGCGGCAAAUGCAACUCACGGAAAGCAUUCAAAAGCAAUUAAGCGCUUUCUUCACAGCCCAGAGAGCGCGACAGAGACGGCCUUAGAUGGUGGAAAAGAGAAGGGCGCACACAUGAGUUGAAAAUGUAAUAUCAUCAAUCAAAAAAAAAAAAAGAAGGAACACAAAAAUACAGAGACAGCAGAAAAAUUAAGCAGGGAGAGUGAGUGCCAAAGAAAAGCCAUGCCCAAGCUUAAAACUGGAAAUUCUCUUUUACACCGAAAGAGUUUAUGAUCUGGGAAAUAUGUCCGAUGAAAGCUGAUUUGGAAGAUGCAGCACGAAGCCAGCUCACGAAACGGCGGCAACACCAACAACAAAUUUAGCUUGAUUAUGCCAACCACCGACAACAACAACAAGAAGAAACAGCAAACAGCCACAACGAUUUUUUUUUAUCAUCGCAUAUAUUGAAAAAUGCUUCAAACUAAAAGCCAAGCGCUGUAAUCAUAUUUAACUUUGCCUCGGUUAUGUGCCUCAUCUUCUGCAGCCGCAGCCUCAUCUCUCCUUCACCUGAUUUUGGUUGAUGCUGCUGCUGCUGCUGUUGCCAAACCUCAGAGGCAACCGCAACAGUUGCUCGUCUACCUUUCUACGUGAUGAUGUUGUAUGUAUGCAUGUGUGUGUGUUGCAAGUGGCCAUAACAACCGAAAACGGCAACCGAAAUGGCCAACACAAACUGCCCCCCGUGGAAAGGGGUAAAAUGGUGGGGGGGAGGGGAGGAGUGAGUGGUGGAAGCAAGGGGGGAAGAUCGCAGUGAACCCAAAUGACUGGGAAUUUGGCCAGGUAAGCCAGGUAGGUAAGUGCAGCCCAGAGCGGCCAGUGGCCAAGUGGCAAGUGGCUAUCACGGCAUGGCUAUAUAGCCGCCGAUACACACGUAUUUACAGUAUGUAUGUAUUGGUAUACAGCUCUGGGUGAAGGCAGCAACAAAUUUCAGCAAAUUACUAUUAGGUAACCAAAGAAGCAAGGUUUCCCAGAUCAGAUAUCCCAACACGAACGUAUAAAUCUUCUGAAGAAGGGUUCUAAGUACAGGCAAGACGUAAAAAGACUUUAAUACGCGGACUUAAAUGAAGCUUUGUUCUAGCAACAGCGUUUUGAGACAUACAUAUUAUCUUGAAAUGAUAAGAUUAUAAGAGUUCAUAUAGUCAGCUAAGUUUAAUUUAAAUAGUGUUACCAUUUAAAUUUAAACUUUAAGUUCUUGGAAUUUGGAAAGCAAUACGAAUCUAUGAAUGCCAAAUCAUUUUCUAUACGGCGCUUUUAUCGCCUUCCUAUGCCAAUAAAGUUUCUAUUGCAUAUGCAUUGGUUACUCUUUGAUUGCCACCGAAUAACGACUUUACAUACAUAUAUACUAUAUAUCCGAUACCAACGAUGGGUGGUGGGUGGGUGGUAAUUGGCGGAAUUGAAGUACUUGGAGUACUCAUAUUGACCCAGCGACAAGUUGCAGUCAUUUACUUAACUUUCACAAUUUCGAUUUACACAUCUACAUGACUCCUCUUUAUUCUCCCCGCACAAUCAUAUAGAUAUAGGUAUAUAUCUUUGCCCUACGCCUCUGCGGUCGGCUGUCUACUCAAUCACAGCGUAAAGCACUUCUGAGUCAUAAAAACCAAGCCAGACAGCGAUUGUGUAGUUGGCAAUUUUAUGCAGCGCCACUUGGAGCACUCCGGAUCUCCGGAUUCGAGAUGCCAGCAGGGCAGGGUGGAGUGGUGCUGCAAAGUUAGGGGUUUCGGGGUUUACCAUGGAGUGAAGCGAUAAAAAUGACACAUGGAGCUCCACUCCAUUCUGUUCCAAAGGCAAAUGGCAAAUAGCCGCGAGAGAAAGAGAGAGAGAGAGAGAGAGAGAGAGAGAUAGCCCUGUGGCAAGUGACACUUCGUGGGGGCAGAGACAUGGCCAAAAGGAGCCAAGCCGAUCGAGUUUGUCUCGCGAAGUAAGAGUUAUAUCUUUAAUUCACUGCGGACAUCACCUCCACGAAUGACAAAGACUUCAAUUACUUUAUAUAGAAUAACAAGCAAAUCUUUUGUUUCUAUUCAUAUAAGUUAUUAGAAACUGCAAAAUAUAUACGUUUUCAAGGUUUUCAAAUAUAUAUUUUAAACACCAGAAGUAAAAUCCUUUUUGUUUUUGUUUUUGAAGAAUGUCCAACAUGUUUUCGAAAGCAAUUACAACAUGCAAUUAAAAAUCGCCUGCGCUGAAACACAAAACCGUUUCGUUUUGGCCUGCAGACAAUCGGGAUUGCAUAACCGGGAAACAUAUUUCUGGUCUCGUUUUGACUUAUAUAUUUAUAUAUCUUUUGUUUUAUACAGUGUCCGAAAAACGAGAGCGACAAGUUGACACAAUCGUGGACAACCUUUUUCGUACACAAGCCAAUCAACUGUGGCACAGCAGAAAGCUCAAAAAAAGCGGAAAUAAUUAUGGAAAAACAAUUUUUAAUUUGCAAUUGCACUCGCAGCAGCAGCAACAACAACAGAAGCACAGUAACAACCGAAAAACUUAACAAGCCAACCUUGGCGUUUAUGCCCUUUAAUGGGGAUUUUUAUACGUAUUUUUAUACCGCUUUUUGUGCGCCUCACCUUGAGAUAACUUUACGUGGAGUUGGAGUUGGAAUUGGAAUUGGAGUUGUAGUUGGAGGUGGAGGUGGAGCCAAUGGGCGAAACUCUGAGCUCACAAUGCAGCCCUUUGAUCGUGAACAGGCGCAACCUUGGAAUGAAAUCGGUGGGAUCUCUCUCUAUAAGGUAAGAGAGUAAAAUGAAAUAAAAAACCGCUGGCCGAAUGGAAAAACCUCAAUUGAAUGGCUGUAGUCCAAAGCCCUUUAAACAAACAACUUCAUUAAUCAAUAAAAAGGCACAGCAGCCAAAAGUGAAUUAAAAGCGAACAAACAAGCACAUUAAACGUGAAAAUCUGAUCUAGGGUGGCAACAGCGAACCCGUCCCCCAUAAUUAAGUAAGAAACAACAGCUGCCCCAAAGUGUAAAAACCUGUAAAUAUUUAAAAACAUAAAUUCCCCAAAAACAAAAAAAAAAAGAAAAGAGAAUCCCAUUAAAAUAAAAACAUUUAAGGGGUGGCAAGCGGAUUUUCACCAUCUUAUGAAUUUCAUUGCUUGAACUUGGGGACACCACCAAAAAGAAAAACUAAGAAAAAACACCAGCAAAUACAACAAACAUAAGUAAAUAAAGCUGAAAACGCCGUGGAAGAUGACUCCUGGCGUCAGGCCAUAAAAAAGGUAAAACAAACAAAACAGGCUAACAAACAACAUCAACAACAACGCACUCAUAAAAAACGGGGGUAAAGUACGGCGCGGGAAAGCGGGCAGAGUUCUCAGAAGGUAAAAAAUGAAAAAAAAAAGAGGGGUAGACUUUAUCGAAAGUCAAUUGGGCGUAAACCCCGAUAAUGAAUCGGUUGCGAAUGAAGGCUGAUGAAUAUGCUACGCAUGGGCUAUACUUAAAAUUAAUCUCUUGCCUUUUUCGUAUUUAUUUUAGUUUACUUUAGUUAUUUAAGAUGAAGUGUAAACAAUAUUUAUCAAUCAUUGAAACAAUAUCUCAUAUCUAUUUGACCUUUUGCCUAAAUAUAUUAAUAUUAUUAGCAAACAAAUAAGCACUUGUCGUGGCGAAAAUAAUGAGUAUGCGUGUAGUCGCUGUUUACUUCUU